rnacentral:rRNA from 1 species
GACGAACGCUGGCGGCGUGCUUAACACAUGCAAGUCGAACGGAAAGGCCCGGCUUUUGUGGGUUUCUCGAUUGGCGCACGGGUGAGUAACACGCGUGUAACCUGCCCUUGUCUGUGGGAUAUCUCCAGGGAACUGGGGCUAUUACCGGAUAGGAUCUCCUGCUGCAUGGGGUGCGUUGGAAAGUUGCGGCGGUAGUGGCUGGACUGGCUGGUUAUGAGCUUGUUUGUGUGGUAGGGGCUUACCAGGGGUUCGAAGGGUAGCCGGCAUGAGAGGUGUACCGGCGACCUGGGGACUGAGAGAGGCACCAGAAGCGAACGGGAGGCAGCAGUGGGGAGUAUUGCAGAAUGGGGGGAAGCGUGAGGCAGAGACGCCGCGUGCGGAAUGACGGGCUUCGGGUGAUGAACCGCUUUGGCAUGUGACGAAGAGUGAGUGACGGUAAUGGGUAAAGAAGCACCGGCUAACUACGUG